GACGAACGCUGGCGGCGUGCUUAACACAUGCAAGUCGAACGGAAAGGCCCUGCCUUUGUGGGGUGCUCGAGUGGCGAACGGGUGAGUAACACGUGAGUAACCUGCCCUUGACUUUGGGAUAACUUCAGGAAACUGGGGCUAAUACCGGAUUGGAGCUCCUGCUGCAUGGUGGGGGUUGGAAAGUUUCGGCGGUUGGGGAUGGACUCGCGGCUUAUCAGCUUGUUGGUGGGGUAGUGGCUUACCAAGGCUUUGACGGGUAGCCGGCCUGAGAGGGUGACCGGCCACAUUGGGACUGAGAUACGGCCCAGACUCCUACGGGAGGCAGCAGUGGGGAAUAUUGCACAAUGGGCGGAAGCCUGAUGCAGCAACGCCGCGUGCGGGAUGACGGCCUUCGGGUUGUAAACCGCUUUCGCCUGUGACGAAGCGUGAGUGACGGUAAUGGGUAAAGAAGCACCGGCUAACUACGUG
rnacentral:rRNA from 1 species